CCUACGGGUGGCAGCAGUAGGGAAUAUUGCACAAUGGGCGCAACCCUGAUGCAGCCACGUCGCGUGGAUGAUGAAGGUCUUCGGAUUGUAAACUCCUUUUGUUGGAGAGGAUAGUGACGAUAUCUAUCCAUUUAUCCCCGGAUAACUCCGUGUCAGCAGCCGCGGUCAUAUGGAGGGUGCAAGCGUUAAUCGGAAUGACGGGGCGUAAAGUGCGCGUAGGCGGGAUGGCAAGUCAGAUGUGAAAUCCUAUGGCUUAACCAUAGAACUGCAUUUGAAACUGGUAUUCUAGAGUAUGGUAGAGGGAGGUGGAAUUCCAGGUGUAGGGGUAAAAUCCGUAGAGAUCAAGAGGAAUACUCAUGGCGAAGGCGACCUGCUAGAACAUAACUGACGCUGAUGCGCGAAAGCGUGGGGAGCAAACAGGAUUAGAUACCCGAGUAGUC
rnacentral:rRNA from 1 species